AUUUGUUGAGUAUCUAUAGUACAAAUGACUUCCAAUCAUUUAGAUAAAGCUAACCUUUAAACAAAUA
rnacentral:tRNA from 1 species